CGCAGCAAAACAAAUUUGGGGAGGAAGAAGAGCCCCCAAACCCUUAACCUCCUUUAAUCCGCCAUAACUCUUCCGUCCGGGCUCCGAUUGUUGCACCGUUCGCGGCCACGAUUCCAGCGCGUUGAGCUCUACAUCUGUAUUGGAUCAAUUUCACUGGUUCGAUUUAGCUUGCGGAGCUUACUGGGUUUGAGUUGCUACGCGUGUGGGAGCGAUGCAGGUCGAGAGGCUCCUCGCUAGGCGUCUGGAUCCUGGAAAGCGAAGUAGUCCUUGGGUGUAUUUUGGUUUCUGGCUGUAUAUAUGUAUAUAUAUGUUUAGCUUACUCUCCAAGUAACUUAUGUAUGCUGCUCCUCUUAGAGAUUGAGGGAGAGAGAGGAGUUAUUUUGAUACUAUAGUGUAUUUUGGGAUAUUUUGAGAACACU